rnacentral:rRNA from 1 species
UUAAAGAGAGCCCUAUUCAGUGUAACUGCUGUGGUAGUGGGUUUGGUCGCUCGCAUUUAAAUUGGAAGGGUAAUGGUGGACCGCACUUCUCCCUUAGUAGGACGUUGCGACCUGUCAAAUAAUAUCCUAAGUAUAUGGCUAAUUUGUCUGUUUUUAGGCAAUACCGCGAGGUAUUUCCUUUAACAGUUUUAGCCGUUUAUAUAUACUGGAUAUAAUUGACAGUAACGAAUCAUGGUGUUGAGCCACUUGAAAUUGUAUAUUUAUAUGUAUAAUGGAAAGUGUCCUUGUGGCUGUUUGCAAGUGGGUUGGUUAAUUAGUUUUAGUCGGAUUUUGGUCCGUCUAGCUAUUCCGCCUACUGUUGGUAAACUGUUCCUUGGACAGUGCUUACAACACCGGUCGGCAGCGAUUCAGGUUCAGGCUCUUAUCCGACCCGUCUUGAAACACGGACCAAGGAGUUUAGCGUGUACGCAAGUCAUUGGGUGUAUAAAACCCAAAGGCGC